rnacentral:rRNA from 1 species
AUGGCCACUCCAUCCAUGUCUGCCCCAAUUUCCAUCUUUAUACUAGUCCUAUUCUUAGCCGCCUCGGCUUCUUCUCCCAGUCCGACCAACGGCAAUGGUAAUGGCACUGAUCUGGCCGCGCUGCUAGCUUUCAAAGCCCAGCUCACCGACCCUUUCCGCAUCCUUGCCAGCAACUGGACCACUGGUACGUCUUUCUGCCACUGGGUUGGCGUCUCAUGCAGCAAGCGCAGGCAACGCGUCACCGCUCUAUCAUUGCCGGACAUGCCUCUCGUUGGAUCCAUGGCACCUCACAUUGCUAACCUGUCUUUCCUCUCUGUCCUCAACCUCACCUGCACCAAUCUCACAGGUUCCAUUCCGGCGGAACUUGGUAGGCUACGUCGUCUUAGGUCUCUCAGCCUUAGAGGAAAUAGCCUAUCAAAUGCCAUACCUAAUACCCUAGGAAACCUCACGAAGCUCGAGAUCCUUAGACUAUCUUACAACAAACUCUCCGGCCAAAUCCCUUUUGAGUUGCUGCUGCGUACACACAACCUUAGAAAAUUUAGUCUGGCUGUAAAUGACUUGAGUGGCCAGCUACCUCCGUCUUUUUUCAACAACACCCCUUACUUGAUGUUGGCCGUUUUCGCAGAGAAUAGCCUGUCAGGUCCAGUACCACACACCCUUGCAUCCCUAUCCAUGCUUGAGGUAUUGGAUCUAGCAUUUAAUCAACUGUCAGGCCUAGUGCCACAAGCCAUGUACAACAUGUCCAACCUACAAGUCAUGUCACUCCUAGGUAACGGCAACCUACAUGGAAUGAUUCCCAAUAAUGGAAGUUUCAGCCUCCCAGUGUUACAAAUAUUUAUGCUAGAUGGUAACAAAUUUGCCGGACGGUUACCUACAGGGCUUGCAUCAUGCCAAUACCUACAAGUACUUGGUUUGAGUGAUAACUCUUUUGCGGAUAUUGUGCCAACUUGGUUAGCCAAAUUAUCACACCUACAAAAGCUUUCACUGGGUUUUAACAACCUUACUGGUUCAAUCCCAGCCACUCUUAGUAAUCUCACAAGUCUUACUAAUCUAUAUCUUGGCUUCGGAAACCUCAAGGGGGAGAUUCCACGAGAAUUGGGUUCUAUGCAGGAACUCUUGAGUCUAGAUCUUGAAGUCAAUCAGUUGACAGGUAAAAUUCCAGCUUCCCUAGGCAACUUAUCCAAAUUGUCUUCCCUAUGUAUGGGAAAUAAUCAAUUGUCAGGCCAAGUACCAACAACACUUGGGAAAAACAUAGCUUUAAACAAGCUUUUGUUGUCACAAAAUAAUUUAGAGGGAAAUCUAGACUUCUUUUCGGCUCUUUCCGAGUGCAGGCAACUUCGAGUCCUUCUAAUAGACCAUAACCAUUUCACAGGCAUCCUCUCUGGCCAUGUUGGAAACCUCACUUCAAGAUUAACCACUUUAAUUGCAGGUAACAAUAAGUUAACAGGUAAACUUCCUCUAGAAAUUUCAAACAUAAGCAGCCUUGAAAGGAUAGAUCUUUCUAACAACCUGUUCACCGAGUCACUCCCAGAAUCCAUCACUCUGUUGAAAAACCUUGCAUUCCUUGAUCUCUCCCGCAAUGACAUGUUAGGCCCUAUCCCAACACAAAUAGGUAUGCUCAGGAGUUUAGAACGGUUGUUUCUGCAAGAAAACAAAUUCUCAGGCUCAAUGCCAAGAAGCUUUGGAAAUCUUAGUUUGUUAGAAUACAUUGACUUGUCUAAUAACCAGUUAAAUUCAAUGAUACCCAUAAGCUUUUUCUACCUUGAUAAACUUAUCGUACUAGAUAUUUCACAUAAUUCCUUCGUCGGAGAACUACCCACCAAUGUUCUUGGUCUAAGACAAACAUAUGCAAUGGAUUUUUCUUCCAAUUGUUUCAUAGGAAGCAUUCCAGAAUCACUCGGAAAACUUAACAUGCUAGCCUACCUAAAUCUAUCAUGUAACUCCUUCAGAGGCUCUAUUCUACGCCCAUUAGAAAAACUAAAAAGCUUGGCAUCAUUAGACCUCUCAUUUAACAAUUUCUCUGGUACCAUUCCCAUGUUCCUUGCCAACUUUACCUAUUUGACUAGCCUGAACCUCUCUUUUAAUAGAUUAGAAGGCCAAAUACCAGAGGGGGGUGUUUUCUCAAACCUCACGUUGCAAUCUUUGAUUGGAAAUGAUGGACUAUGUGGUGCUCCGCGGCUACAUUUUUUGCCAUGCCGCGACAUGCCUCGCUCAAGUAAUAGACACUCACUACGACUUCUACUCACAACACUCAUAUUAGCACUUGCAACCAUUGCCAUUUGCAUAUACAUAUGGUUUCAAAAGGAACUUAAGAAGGGAGAGGGCAAACCUUCUAUUGAUCCAACAGAUGGCAUAGGCCAUCAAAUAGUCUCCUAUGAUGAGCUCAUUCGUUCCACGAAUAGUUUCAGUGAAGAUAACAUCUUGGGAUCUGGAAGCUUUGGAAAAGUCUUCAAGGGCCAACUGAGUAGUGGUUUGGUGGUCGCGGUAAAAGUUCUUGACAUACAACUAGAGCAUGCCAUUCGAAGUUUUGAUGUUGAGUGUCAAGUGCUUCGCAAUGUGCGACACCGCAACCUGAUAAAGAUACUCAACACUUGUCACAAUGUUGACUUCAGAGCACUGGUGCUUCAAUACAUGCCAAAUGGAAACUUAGAUAUGAUCCUACACCAAUGUCAGAGUUCAUGGCACCUAGGGUUCCUUGAGAGACUAGGCAUCAUGCUCGAUGUGUCGAUGGCAAUGGAGUAUCUACACCAUGAGCACCACGAGUUGAUCUUGCACUGUGACUUGAAGCCUAGCAACGUGUUGUUUGAUGACGAGAUGAUGGCACAUGUGGCGGACUUUGGCAUUGCAAGGUUGAUUCUAGAUGAUAGUUCCAUGAUCUGUGCCAGCAUGCCUGGAACAGUUGGGUACAUGGCACCAGAGUACGGGUAUCUUGGAAAAGCAUCGCAGAAGAGUGACGUGUUUAGUUAUGGAAUCAUGCUCCUUGAAGUCUUCACCGGAAAGAGACCCACCGAUCCUAUGUUUGGUGCGCAACUAACCCUUAGACAAUGGGUUCAUCAGGCAUUUCCUACAGAGGUUUUCCAAGUCGUUGAUGGCAAGCUUCUGCAAGGCUUCUCUCUUUCUAGCUAUAGCUUGUACGAUGGCUUUCUAGCAUCAAUGUUCAAGGUGGGUUUGCAUUGUUCUAGAGACUCGCCUGACCAGAGGAUGACGAUGCGUGAUGUAGUGGUGAUGCUGAAGAAGGUCAAAACCGAGUACACCAAACUGAUAGAAACUAUGUCCAAUAGUGCAACACAGUGA